AGCAUAAUCACUUGCCUUUUAAUUGAAGGCUAGUAUGAAUGGACAAACGAGGGCCAUACGUGUCUCUAAAAUACUUAAUAAAAAUUAUCUUUUAGGUGAAGAGACCUAAAUACGAAAAAAGGACAAGAAGACCCUGUUGAGCUUUAUUAAUAUAAUUAGGCCUGACAACUUUAAGCAUCUACUAUCCUAAUAUAUAAAAUUCAGUUGGGGCGACUAAGGAACAAUAAAAACUUCCCUACUCACUUUAGACCUUCUAGUCUUCAUCUGAUCCAAAUUUAUUGACCAAAGAAUUGAGCUACCACAGGGAUAACAGGCUAAUCCUCCUUAAGAGCCCAUAUUGACAGGAGGGAUUGGCACCUCGAUGUUGGCUUAGGGCCCCCAAGAAGCGCAGCCGCUUCUAAAGGUAGGUUUGUUCAACCUUUAAU
rnacentral:rRNA from 1 species